AGGAGGAAUCCCUUCCUUAUCCUGAAUCUUAGCCUUAACAUUAUCAAUAGUAUCGCUACUCUCCACCUCCAAAGUAAUAGUCUUUCCAGUCAAAGUCUUAACAAAAAUCUGCAUCCCUCCACGAAGCCUUAACACAAGGUGAAGUGUUGAUUCCUUCUGAAUGUUAUAAUCAGCCAAAGUCCUUCCAUCUUCAAGCUGCUUUCCUGCGAAAAUCAACCUCUGCUGAUCUGGUGGAAUCCCUUCUUUGUCUUGAAUCUUCGCCUUGACAUUAUCGAUUGUGUCACUGCUUUCUACCUCCAAGGUAAUGGUCUUUCCCGUCAAGGUCUUAACAAAAAUUUGCAUACCUCCACGGAGACGAAGCACAAGGUGAAGUGUUGAUUCUUUCUGGAUAUUAUAAUCAGCCAAAGUACGCCCAUCUUCAAGCUGUUUUCCAGCAAAGAUUAGCCUUUGCUGAUCUGGGGGAAUUCCUUCUUUGUCCUGAAUCUUUGCCUUGACAUUAUCAAUAGUGUCGCUGCUCUCAACUUCAAGAGUAAUGGUCUUUCCCGUCAAGGUUUUGACGAAGAUCUGCAUGCCACCGCGGAGACGGAGGACAAGGUGGAGGGUUGAUUCUUUUUGAAUGUUAUAAUCGGCUAAGGUGCGGCCGUCUUCGAGCUGUUUUCCUGCGAAGAUGAGACGUUGCUGGUCUGGUGGGAUUCCUUCCUUGUCUUGGAUUUUGGCUUUCACGUUGUCUAUUGUGUCGCUGCUCUCCACCUCCAGA
rnacentral:lncRNA from 1 species